rnacentral:rRNA from 1 species
UACGUAGGUGGCGAGCGUUGUCCGGAAUUAUUGGGCGUAAAGAGCAUGUAGGCGGCUUAAUAAGUCGAGCGUGAAAAUGCGGGGCUCAACCCCGUAUGGCGCUGGAAACUGUUAGGCUUGAGUGCAGGAGAGGAAAGGGGAAUUCCCAGUGUAGCGGUGAAAUGCGUAGAUAUUGGGAGGAACACCAGUGGCGAAGGCGCCUUUCUGGACUGUGUCUGACGCUGAGAUGCGAAAGCCAGGGUAGCGAACGGGAUUAGAUACCCUAGUAGUCGUGACUGACU